rnacentral:piRNA from 1 species
UGGCACAGAAUUGCUCUUUCUGAAGGGU